GACGAACGCUGGCGGCGUGCUUAACACAUGCAAGUCGAACGAUGAAGAAAAGAGUCGAAGCUUUGGCAGAAAUUCAUUUCGGAUUAGUGGCAGACGGGUGAGUAACGCGUGAGCAACCUACCUCUUACGAAGGGAUAGCCUCGGGAAACCGGGAUUAAUACCAUAUAACAUUGUGACGAAGCAUCUCGAUGCAAUCAAAGCUACGGCGGUAAGAGAUGUGCUCGCGUCCCAUUAACCGGAUGGUGAGGUAACGGCUCACCAUAGUGACGAUGGGUAACCGGGCAGAGAGGGUGAACGGUCACACUGGAAGUGAGACACGGUCCAGACUCCUACGGGAGGCAGGAGAGGGGGAUAUUGCAAAACGGAGGGAACUAUGAUGCAGCGACGCCGGGUGAGUGAUGAAGGAAUUCGUUUCGUAAAGCUCUGUUCUAUGGGAAGAAAAGGACUGUACCAUAGGAGAAAGCUCCGGCUAACUACGUG
rnacentral:rRNA from 1 species